rnacentral:sRNA from 1 species
AGCAGCCGCGGUAAUUCCAGCUCCAAUAGCGUAUAUUAAAGUUGUUGCAGUUAAAAAGCUCGUAGUUGAAUUUCGGGGUUAGUAGGUUGGUCAUGCCUCCGGUAUGUACUGAUCUCACUGAUUCCUCCUUCCUUAUGAACCGUAAUGCCAUUAAUUUGGUGUUGCGGGGAAUUUGGACUGUUACUUUGAAAAAAUUAGAGUGUUUAAAGCAAGCUAACGCUUGAAUACAUUAGCAUGGAAUAAUGAAAUAGGACGUUCGAUCUUAUUUUGUUGGUUUCUAGGAUUGACGUAAUGAUUAAUAGGGAUAGUUGGGGGCAUUAGUAUUCAAUUGUCAGAGGUGAAAUUCUUGGAUUUAUUGAAGACUAACUACUGCGAAAGCAUUUGCCAAGGAUGUUUUCAUUAAUCAAGAACGAAAGUUAGGGGAUCGAAGACGAUCAGAUACCGUCGUAGUCUUAACCAUAAACUAUGCCGACUAGGGAUCGGAUGAUGUUAAUUUUUUAAUGACUCAUUCGGCG